rnacentral:rRNA from 1 species
UGGAAGUAAAAAUCGUAACAAGGUCUCCGUUGGUGAACCAGCGGAGGGAGGGAUCAUUACCGAGAGAGUUUGUAAUUCAUUGCAACGGAUGUGACGUUACACAAACUGUUGCCUCGGCGGGAUCUCUGCCCCGGGUGCGUCGCAGCCCCGGACCAAGGCGCCCGCCGGAGGACCAACCAAAACUCUUAUUGUAUACCCCCUCGCGGGUUUUUUUUAUAAUCUGAGCCUUCUCGGCGCCUCUCGUAGGCGUUUCGAAAAUGAAUCAAAACUUUCAACAACGGAUCUCUUGGUUCUGGCAUCGAUGAAGAACGCAGCGAAAUGCGAUAAGUAAUGUGAAUUGCAGAAUUCAGUGAAUCAUCGAAUCUUUGAACGCACAUUGCGCCCGCCAGUAUUCUGGCGGGCAUGCCUGUCCGAGCGUCAUUUCAACCCUCGAACCCCUCCGGGGGGUCGGCGUUGGGGAUCGGCCCUGCCUUGGCGGUGGCCGUCUCCGAAAUACAGUGGCGGUCUCGCCGCAGCCUCUCCUGCGCAGUAGUUUGCACACUCGCAUCGGGAGCGCGGCGCGUCCACAGCCGUUAAACACCCAACUUCUGAAAUGUUGACCUCGGAUCAGGUAGGAAUACCCGCUGAACUUAAGCAUAU